rnacentral:lncRNA from 1 species
UAAAAAAUGGGGUUUUUGACUAUUUGGAAUUUCUGUAUUUAUUUCUAAGUUAGCAGCCAUGACUGGAAAAACAUUAUUCCCCUUCUAUGUUCUAUUUCACUCUUGAUUCCAAGAUUUCAUGACUGAGUCCAGAUCAUGACUCCCAUAUUUCAUCUCCAUCUAAUGACAAGUCCUGUGUGAGUCAUACCUGUUGUGGAAACUCUUAUGUAUUUUCCAUCACCCUCUUAAAUGAGGACUCAGACUAUAUGCUUUCUGACAAUUCCUGGUUUUCAGAAUAGCCCCAUUGGAUUUUCUGGUCAUGGAUGGAUGUAGUUAGAAGAGAGCUACUUUGUCACGGCAGCCUUGAGAUCCAGGCACUGCUCAGAUACAAGGAAAUUAGCUGCAGAAGAGUGAAAUGACUUACCAAGGAUUAUGGGCAAAAGGAUCAUCAAAUCUAUGAUGGAAAGCCAAGUCUACUAACCUCAAAUCAAUAUUUUUUCCCAUUAUAUGAAAGUUUUCUUGUUGAGACAUUUUUCAGUCAGGUCUAAUUCUUUGUGACUCCAUUUAGGGUUUUCUUAGAAAUGAUGCUGCAAUGGGCCAUUUCCUUCUCCAGCUCAUCUUACAGAUGACAAAACUGAGGCAAACAGGGUAAAGUGACUUGCCCAGGGUCACAUAGCCACUAAGUCUCUGAGUCCAAUUUUGAAUUUAGGGAAUCUGAGGCCAGAUUUGAACUUGGAGAGAUGAAUCUUCCUGACUCCCAUCCUGAUCCUCUGUCCACAUACAGUGAAACUAACUUAACCUAAAUCUCAUUAAAACAAUAUUUUGCUUUCUUUUUUUUUUCUUUUUGCUUAGUUGAUAGAGAUAAAUUGUAGUUUUUAUUUUCUUCAUCAUUAUUUAAUCUGUUAUGAAUAGUGGUUUACUUAUAUUUUGAGUAUUAAUUGUAGUCCAUAAUGAAAUGAAGUUAAACAAUUUGUCUUUGCAUUCCCAGUACCUAGUACAGUUGUCUUCCACAUAGUACACCCUUAAUAAAUGCUUUUUGAAUAAAUAGGGUUUUGCA